rnacentral:rRNA from 1 species
UUCCGGUUGAUCCUGCCAGAGGCGACCGCUUUUGGAGUUCGAUUAAGCCAUGCGAGUCGAGAGCCUUAGGGGCUCGGCAUACUGCUCAGUAACACGUGGAUAACCUGCCCUAUUGUCUGGAAUAACCUCGGGAAACUGAGAACAAGGCCGGAUAACCCACUAUGCCUGGAACGGUUUGUGGGUGAAGAUAGGAUGGGUCUGCGGCGUAUCAGGUCGUAGGGGGUGUAAUGGACCUCCUAGCCAUCGACGCGUACGGGUGUUGGGAGACAUAGCCCGGAGAUGGAUUCUGAGACACGAAUCCAGACCCUACGGGGUGCAGCAGGCGCGAAAACUUCACACUGCAGGAAACUGUGAUGAGGGAACUCCAAGUGCAUUCACUAUGUGGAUGCUUUUUUUGACUAUUAAUCGGUCAACGAAUAAGGGCUGGGAAAGACCGGUGCCAGCCGCCGCGGUAAUACCGGCAGCUCAAGUGGUCGUCGCUUUUAUUGGGCCUAAAACGUCCGUAGCCUGUUUGGUAAAUCUGUGGGUAAAUCAACCAGCUUAACUGGUUGAAUUCUGCAGAGACUGCCAGACUAGGGACCGGGAGAGGUGUGGGGUACUCUAGGGGUAGGGGUAAAAUCCUGUCAUCCUUAGAGGACCACCAGUUGCGAAGGCGCCACACUGGAACGGAUCCGACGGUCAGGGACGAAGCCUAGGGGCACGAACCGGAUUAGAUACCCGGGUAGUCCUAGGUGUAAACGCUGUGAACUUGGUGUCGGGGAUCCGCAAUGGGUCCUCGGUGCCGGAGUGAAGAUGUUAAGUUCACUGCCUGGGGAGUACGGUCGCAAGGCUGAAACUUAAAGGAAUUGGCGGGGGAGCACUGCAACGGGAGGAGCGUGCGGUUUAAUUGGAUUCAACGCCGGGA